rnacentral:rRNA from 1 species
UUAAUACACGUGGUAGGGGAGCAUUCCAUCAUCAGUGAAGGUGCGACAUGAGUCGUGCUGGAGAUUAUGGAAAAGCAAAUGUAGGCAUAAGUAACGAUAAUAAAGGUGAAAAACCUUUACGCCGAUAGUCUAAGGUUUCCUGAUCAAUGUUAAUCAGAUCAGGGUUAGUCGGGUCCUAAGGCGAACCGAUUUAGGAGAGUCGAUGGCAAGCAGGUUAAUAUUCCUGCACCAGUGGAGAGGGACGGAGUGAUGUAGCAGUUACGUACUGACGGAAAUGUACGUUGAGCAUAGCCCUCGGGCGAAGCAAAACUGUGAACUCGCUUCCAAGAAAAGCUCCCACAUUAGCCCGUACCGCAAACCGACACAGGUAGACAAGGAGAGAAUCCUGAGGCGCUCGAGUGAAUCGUGGUUAAGGAACUCGGCAAAUUAACCCUGUAACUUCGGGAUAAGGGGAGCUCAUAUUUAUAUGAGCCGCAGAGAAAUGGUCCAGGCGACUGUUUAGCAAAAACACAUAGAUCUGCUAAAACGAAAGUUGAUGUAUAGGUCUUGACACCUGCCCGGUGCUGGAAGGUUAAGAGGGGGGGUUAGGCGCAAGCCGAAGCUCUGAAUCGAAGCCCCAGUAAACGGCGGCCGUAACUAUAACGGUCCUAAGGUAGCGAAAUUCCUUGUCGGGUAAGUUCCGACCUGCACGAAUGGUGUAACGAUCUGGACGCUGUCUCAACCACGAGCUCGGUGAAAUUGUAGUAUCGGUGAAGAUGCCGGUUAACCGCAACGGGACGGAAAGACCCCAUGCACCUUCACUACAGCUUUGCAUUGGUUUUGGUUAAAUGAUGUGUAGGAUAGGUGGGAGACUUUGAAGCUGCGUCGCUAGGCGUGGUGGAGUCAUUGGUGAAAUACCACCCUUCAUUUAAUUGAAAUCUAAUCCCGCUAAGCGGGAGACAUUGCAUGGUGGGUAGUUUGACUGGGGUGGUCGCCUCCGAAAUUGUAUCGGAGGCUUUCAAAGGUAUCUUCAGCACGGUCGGUAAUCGUGCGUAGAGUGCAAUAGCAUAAAGAUGCUUGACUGUGAGACGUACAUGUCGAACAGGGUCGAAAGACGGAUAUAGUGAUCCGGUGGUUCUGAAUGGAAGGGCCAUCGCUCAUAGGAUAAAAGGUACGCUGGGGAUAACAGGCUGAUCUCCCCCAAGAGCUCACAUCGACGGGGAGGUUUGGCACCUCGAUGUCGGCUCGUCACAUCCUGGGGCUGGAGAAGGUCCCAAGGGUUGGGCUGUUCGCCCAUUAAAGUGGCACGCGAGCUGGUUCAGAACGUCGUGAGACAGUUCGGUCCCUAUCUGUUGUGGUCGUUUGAAAAUUGAGAGGAUCUGACCUUAGUACGAGAGGACCGGGUUGGACAUACCUCUGGUGCAUCUGUUGUAGUGCCAACUGCACCGCAGAGUAGCUAAGUAUGGAUUAGAUAAGCGCUGAAAGCAUCUAAGCGCGAAACUAGCCUCAAGAUGAGUUUUCAUUGAAGGUCGUCAGAGAUUAUGACGUUGAUAGGCUAUAGGUGUAAAGCUGGUGACAGCAAAGCCGAGUAGUACUAAUUACC